GUACACGCUGUGACUAGCAUAUCAAUAAGCGGAGGAAAAGAAACUAACAAGGAUUCCCCUAGUAACGGCGAGUGAAGCGGGAAGAGCUCAAAUUUGAAAUCUUAAAGGGUUUCCCUUUACGAAUUGUAGUUUAAAGAAGUGUUUUCUGUUGAGGUUUUGGUAAAAGUUCUUUGGAAUAGGACAUCAUAGAGGGUGAGAAUCCCGUAUUUGACCUUUACCUUCAACUUUGUGAUACACUUUCAAAGAGUCGGAUUGUUUGGGAAUGCAGUCCAAAAUGGGUGGUAAAUUUCAUCUAAAGCUAAAUAUUGGCGAGAGACCGAUAGCGAACAAGUACCGUGAGGGAAAGAUGAAAAGAACUUUGAAAAGAGAGUUAAACAGUACGUGAAAUUGUCAAAAGGGAAGCGUUUGACACCAGUGUUGUUUUUCUGAAAAUCAAUUAAAGAACUGUUUAUGCUAAGCUUGUUUAGACUUUAUCAGCUAUCUGUUAAGUUUUGAGCUUUUCUUUAAUGCACUUUUCAGUUAACAAGUCAACAUCAAUUUCUUUUGCUGUAAAAAAGCUUGAGGAAGGUGGCUUGAGAUUCGUCUUAAGUGUUUAUAGCCUCUUGCCUAUGCAGUCGGAGAGAUUGAGGUCUGCAGCGUAGAUCCUUCGGGGCUAAAUGCAUUUGUGCUAAGUUAUAGCAUUUUAUAGACAACUUGUUGACUAUGAUUUGUCUUGUAGCUUACUCGCUUAUGUUAUUUUACCUACGCUUAGGAUGUUGAAGUCAUCGUAUCGCGC
rnacentral:rRNA from 1 species